UAUUUUUAGUUUCGCUUGUAGUCUCAUCGGGGUAACAGCUCUCGGCCUAAGGUAAAAAUUCAAAUUUUCAUUCAAAUUUUUUUUGUGAUUUACGGAAAUGUUUUUAGGGUCGGCAAAACGCAUUUACCUGUAGAAUAGCCCCUGGAUUUAAUGUAACGAGUCCUAAGCUAAAUUCUAAUACACAGUGAAAAUAGACAACACUACACUAAAAAAAAAUGUAAAAAAAAAACGACACGCACGCAGACACAUUAUACAACUACAUACCUACAAGAAACACUAACGAAUUUAUAGGCGGCCAUAACUCAAGAUACCGAUUGAUGAUGAGUAAAUGCACGAAUCGUUUACUAUGACUUUAUUCAAAUUAAUAUACUGACGUGGGAACUGUAACAUACACAUACACAAGUUGGAUAUGCUAUUUUAACACAAAACAAGUAAUCGCUUCAUGACAUAUCGCCAAUUCAAAUUACAAUUAAGGAUACAACAACUCGGAGACGCGCAACAUUAAUCGCAUUGUAACACUUCGGAAUAGAUGUCAACAGAUUUAGGACUUCGUUCGUUAUCCAGAGGAAUGGCUAUUCCAGGUAUUUCACUCUCUACUGGGGGCUGCGCGAUUGUGGUUGGUGUAUUUACAGGAGAUUCAUAACGUUAAUGACUAGAUGUGUGGUAGUUCAACAGAAUACUCUAUUGUACACGAUUUUACUUGGAAAAAUGUUGGUCUAUGUUGUCCAUAGAAAGAAGAAAAUAAACUUAUAGAAACUUUUUUUAAAUUAAA